UACAGAGGUCUCAAGCGUUGUUCGGAUUCAUUGGGCGUAAAGGGUGCGUAGGUGGCGCCGUAAGUCAGGUGUGAAAUUUCGGAGCUUAACUCCGAAACUGCAUUUGAUACUGCGGUGCUUGAGGACUGGAGAGGAGACUGGAAUUCACGGUGUAGCAGUGAAAUGCGUAGAUAUCGUGAGGAAGACCAGUGGCGAAGGCGGGUCUCUGGACAGUUCCUGACACUGAGGCACGAAGGCCAGGGGAGCAAAACGGG
rnacentral:rRNA from 1 species